rnacentral:lncRNA from 1 species
CCCGAGCAGCUGGUAGUACAGAUGUGGCCACAGAGGACAACAGAAAAGGAAGACCCUCCUGAAGAGCAAAUCCAGGGGCCACGAAAGAAAAUGAACAAGAGAAUUUUUAUUGAAGAGCAGAACCUGGGACUGCCAGAUGGACCAACUAAAGAACUCACUUCACAACUAGGGCAGUGAGUCCUCACCAUUUCUUCUCAGCAAGAGUUGGCUGCUGUAAAAUCAGAGAGAUUAUUCAUGCCUUAUGGUUAAUAAAAGUAUCUAUAGGUAACUGAACCUUGAGGAGCCAAAUUGAGGCCUGAUGAAGGAGACUGUACAUCAUCCAGAGAGAAUGAACUUGGAGCAGGAUGCAAAGACUGCAGGGGAGAAAUCAGGGUUUUUCUGCUGGAGGAAGAAGCAGAGGGUACAUAGACAUAAGGUAUCCAAAGAAGCCCACUAUAGAAGCUGGGACAGAUUGCAUACUUAUUCUCAAUUCUUCACUCCUCCCUAUGCAGUAGAGCAGAGAAAAUCGAGUAUACCUGUGACUUGCUUUGACCAGUGGAAAGUUAGAGGGGACAAGAGCACAGGCUUUAAACAUGCCCAUAUGGGACUUCUGUGCCUACCAUGAGAACAUGCCCCAUAAUUGUUAAUGCAGGGAGAAUGAGGAGAUGUGGUGCAGACUCUUAGCCAAUCCCAAGAGCUGGGUUCAAGGGUAGCCAACACUCAUCCUAGAGAAGUGUCCCCUCUGACCUGCAGACACAUGGCCAAGAAAAAUCAAUGCAUGUUGUUGUAAACCAUUGCAUUUCAAGGCUGUUUGUGAUGCAGCAUCCUGGCUAAUAAACCAGCCAGGUCUAUUCUAACAAUUGUAGCUCAGAGUAAAGAAUGUGGGCAUCUCAUCAGCAGACAUGAUCACUAAAAAGACAGAGAAAAGAUACAAUGAGAAAACUAUAAGCAAACUCUUGGAAAUCCAACGAACAAAAUAGAAGAAAGAAGAAAGAUUAAGAAAUUUCUAGAAACAUCCUACAGUGGUCGGGAAGACUGAGAUAUUAAGCCUAGGAGAUAAAAAUGGACAGGCAGAUUCAUAUCAUGCUUAAAAAGAAACUGCAAAUGAUUGAGAAGUUUUUUUUAAAGUGGAACUAUUUCAAAAGUAAGAAAUUAGUAAAGGGACAAAGUUGUUAAUGCACCAUAAACAAGUGAUCAAAAGCAGAAAAAAAAAUGAACUGCUGUGGAAAUGGACACAGUGUGAUCCUAUUUUUAGUGGACUACUUGAGUUUUUUAAAAAAUUAGGAGGAAGGUAAAAGGUUCAGAAAAUAGAAACAGAAGUGUAAAUAAUACUAUGAAAUGGGCCUAGCUGAAACAGCUCACUUUUCAAAAGAAUACAUUAAAUGAAGAAUACAGAAUGAGAUCCUUAAAAAAAGAAGUCAGGAAAGUAUUACAUAGAGUAACUGCAAAGGCCUUCUCUCCUUAUAACACGGAAAUUGAUGUAUUUGAGAAUAAGGGUAUUAAAAAAGAUCUUUAAGAGUCUACAGGAAAUAGAAGAGCUAGGACAAAGCAUGGAUGUCAUGUAGAAUAUUUUAUGAUAAACUGCUGACCUGAGCCAAUAAUUCUUGG